GCCACCGCGAGACUGUCUGGCCCAGACUGUCUGUGAAUUUGAACAAGAAAUAGGACACACUUUUUAUACAUUUUUACCUCGUCCUGUUUCGCUCUUCACUCGGAGGACAUGACGCUUGUCGAACGCUGGCUUUUUUUUGGGAAAAUCUCCUUCCUCCGCGGAAGUGUUUUUGAGGGGGAAAUGAUGUGAAAGUUUUGAUGUGUCAGCAAAUUUGGCUUAAUGCGCAGACAGUGCCCGGCUGGCGUGCUGCGUUCAAGGUUCACGGAAAGAGGAGCACCGCAUCAGUGGAAGGAAGUUUGGACUGUUAAGAUGCAAGCCUGUCAUGUGCAGAUGGACGCUGAAGAGCAGAGAGCUGCUGCUGGGCUCGGAGGAAGAUGUCAUGCUCAGGAUGGGCUUUUUUGGUGAUGAUGUUGCCACUGUUGCUACAGCACCUGGCUCCCACUUUGUGC